ensembl:lncRNA
GGGGUGAUGAUGAUGAUCAGCAAGCAGUAGUAUGGCUUCAUGCUGAGCGAGCACACUAUAGAUGUGGUGCUUGCUUUGAGAGUUUUAAUAGAGAAGGUCAGAAGGAGGAACUGUGAGGAAGUCGGCUGGAAUCCAAUUUCUAGUAAGCUACAAAACAGAAACAGAUUUUUUGUCAUGUUUGGUGGAUAAUUUGGACCUAAAUUGCAGAGUUAAUGCCAAACUUAAUAAAUAAAUUAGCUUUUAUUCAGGUGAGGCUGGAAAAAUCCAGCAAGAAGCCAAAGUCCAUUGAUCCAAACAAGGGAAGCAACACAGCAGGAGAAUAAUACAAACACUGCAGCCCAACAAAGAGCUGAGGAAAACUAAGCGCUUCACAGUUGACUCAGUGACUGCAAGGUGCCCAGGUCCUGUGGCUGCAAAGCAAGCCCAAAUCAUCAUCCCUCCACCACCGUGCUUGACAGUUGGUAUGCGAUGUUUGUGCUGACACGUUGUGUUUGGCUUCCACCACAUGAAGUCCGGCUCACUCAGUCAGUAGAGUAUGGGACUCCUAAGGGUCUCAGGGUCGUGCUUUCGAGCCCCACGUUGUGGCUGAAAAAGAAGCCCAAAUUAUCACCUCUUCACCACCGUGCUUGGCAGUUGGGCUUCUGCGGUCGAAUCUGUGAGGCAGCAGUUCCAACCACGAACUGCGCUGUGUGUAAACAAGGAUUAAAGGAUGAAAACUAUGAAUGAAUCCAAGCCGGGAAACAAAGAUGUGUGUGAACAAGGUUUUCUAACUUUGGAAAAGACGUCUCUACUCUCCUGCCCGUUCCCCUCCUCUCUCCUCCUCUUGUCCCUCUGCACUUUUUUGCCUCCUCUCCAGCUAUUUCCCAGCCCACACAC